UACGAAGGGGGCUAGCGUUGCUCGGAAUCACUGGGCGUAAAGCGCACGUAGGCGGGUCGUUAAGUCGGGGGUGAAAUCCUGGAGCUCGACUCCAGAACUGCCUUCGAUACUGGCGAUCUUGAAUCUGGGAGAGGUGAGUGGAACUCCGAGUGUAGAGGUGAAAUUCGUAGAUAUUCGGAAGAACACCAGUGGCGAAGGCGGCUCACUGGCCCGGUACUGACGCUGAGGUGCGAAAGCGUGGGGAGCAAACAGG
rnacentral:rRNA from 1 species